rnacentral:rRNA from 1 species
UCCAGACUCCUACGGGAGGCAGCAGUGGGGGAUAUUGCACAAUGGGGGGAACCCUGAUGCAGCGACGCCGCGUGGGUGAAGGAGCGUUUCGGCGCGUAAAGCCCUAUCGGCAGGGAAGAAGAUGACGGUACCUGACCAAGAAGCCCCGGCUAACUACGUGCCAGCAGCCGCGGUAAUACGUAGGGGGCAAGCGUUAUCCGGAUUUACUGGGUGUAAAGGGGGCGCAGACGGCAAUGCAAGCCAGGAGUGAAAGCCCGGGGCUCAACCCCGGGACUGCAUUGGGAACUGCCCCGCUCGAGUGCCGGAGGGGCAGGCGGAAUUCCUAGUGUAGCGGUGAAAUGCGUAGAUAUUAGGAGGAACACCAGUGGCGAAGGCGGCCUGCUGGACGGUGUACUGACGCUGAGGCUCGAAAGCGUGGGGAGCAAACAGGAUUAGAUACCCUUGUAU